AGUUGUCGUCGCGCUGUGCAAAGCUCGAAGCUCGUGGGUUGUGUUGCGUCGGAAAUCGGGCCAGUCACACAGCGCCCGCUCACCGCCCACCGCACACCGCCCUCGUCCAGUGCCACGCCACGCCACGCCACGCAACGCCUUCGCCUACCGCCUGACAAGACGGUGCUUGCGUGAGUGCGUGCGCGUGUUGCCGCCUGUUGUAAAACCCAAAGGAAUCCAAAGAAACACAGCCAGUGAAAAAAGUGAAUCAAACUGAUUUUGCAUAAUACUCAUACUCAAAACCAAUCAAAAUACAAAUCGAAUCGAACUGAGAAAUCCAUCCCAAAAUCUGAGCCGCCUAAUCAAUGUGAGAAUCAAAUCGUAUCAAAUGCAAAUGGAAAAACUAAAUAUUCCAACUGGCGCGUAAAUAAAAUUACGAGUUUAGUAUAUUCUAGGUACAUAAUAUUAUAUUAACGUAGUUGUUGUGUUGUCAAGUGCAGUGCAAAGUAAUUUGCCUCCGUUGUCGCAACUAAUUCGAGUUCCUGCCUCCACCAAUCGCCGGCCCCCCCGGAACUGACAGUCAGUGCCCUCCUGGCACCGCCGGCUGUAGCGCCAGCCAGCGCGUGUUAUCAGCCCAUCAGAGCAACAACGAAACGCGACAAAAACACAGAACUCGGAAAAACAACAAGAGAAGAAGCAAAGUCAAAGUGAAUGUGAAUGUGAAUGCAUUGGAACUCAGCGUAAAAGCUCAAUGUGAGUGCAAGUGUGAGUGCGAGGUGAGUAUUUUAGGGGGCAUAAGCGUGAGUGUGUCUGAGUGUUGUGCCUCUGGGCUCUCAGCUGAGUGCUGGGUAAACAAUUCAACCAAAAACCAAACACAAAUACCCAUGCACAGACAACACACAACAAAGAACACAACACACACACACACAGAUUCUCACACAGACACACAAAUUAGUAUCUCGAAUGUAAAGCAAAGCGCGGACCGGACCCACAUCCCCACCCCCCAAAUGUGCGAAUUAUAAAAUAUUUUACCCUUGAAUGUCAUACGAAUACGAAUACGAGUGUUAUUCGCGGGUAGGGAGGGUGAAGUGUAGCGAUAGCAGUAUUAGCAUUCGCGGGGGCAGCGGGGAACCUCACUUUUUAGCAACUUUUUGUUGUUGUUGCCUACCUCUGGGGAACACACACAAUACAAUAUAGCAACAGCAUCCCAUCCCCAUCGACGAAAAGUAUAAAAUAUCCCCUAAACUUUUCUGUGACGUGCAAUAGCUAACCCAAAUUACUUGGAGUGCUGCCGCCUGCUUUCACGCAUUUUCCCGCUUUUCACGUGCGCAAUUUUCCUUGGAUUGCCCUUUUUCUUGGAGUCCCGCCAGACGGCCUGCCAAAGUGUCUGUGAAAUCCAUUAGGUUUCUGUUUUUCUUUCUCCUGUUUUUUCAGCAUUGACUUUGUCAACGGUUCAUUCGCAUCCAGGGGAGAAUGGAGCCCACCUACAUCCCGCCUACACUUAACCCAAACGACCACUGUCAGAGCAAGUAUUUUACUUCAUUUUAAUGGCAUCACUUCUGCCACUCACUCGUAGAUCCCAUCCCAUCUCAUCGCACAUCGUCUUUCCCUUUGAGGAUUUUACAAAAAAUGUUGUCAAAUUUAUUGACUUAUUUGUGUUAUUGUUGCUCUCUCGCCAUUGUAUUAUCUGGCUUUAUCUUUCUGUUGUUUUGUUGGGUAUUCUUAUACUCAUACACAAGCGAAUGAGAUUGUGCUGCUGUGUUUGAGGAUUGAAAAAAGUAAUUCGGCAAAGUGGUUUGAGUAGACCCUAAAGGGCGAAAAUUCAAGUUUAGACAAGAUUUGAUAACUCCAAUUAGGUUAAUUAUCGAGUUUGUAUAAUGAUAUGGGAUCAGUGCUCUUUGCAUAACUUGUGAGAUUUCAAAUUUUAAGUCUGCUUCGAAUAUUAUGAACUUAAUUUACAACUCGAUUGAUUGUAGUAUGAGUAUAAAAACAUUUUCUAUGGAUUAAAGACAAUCAAGAUGGUUGACUGAAAUAUCUCUUGAUUCAUAGCCAAAUUGAAAUUGCCAUUAUUUAAUGCUUUCAUGCAACUACUUCAUCGGUAAGUCGAGGGAGACUCAACCUGCUUUCUGUCAUUUUAUAUACUCAAUUUUCUCAUCCUCUACUGCAGCCCUAUUCGUUAACCGAAAAACUGUAUUAGCUAAGUGAACAAGGAUUUGAAUAGUAGAAGGAGCCAGACCCUUCUGUCUCCUAAAAGCUUUUAAAGUGCGCUCCACCGUACCUGUCUGUAGCCGCACACCCAACCCACCAGUUCGGAUCUCGUGGGAAUCCUCUCGUUUGUAUUUUUUAUGUAAUGCGGGGAAUGUUAAGGUCGUACGGAUUUAUAUGGUAUAUGGAGUCCCGAUUUCAGUGAGGCCGCCGCUUAUAAAUAGUCCUCGCCGCGACCGAUUACCCCUCCGCCAUGCGGCAUGCACUUCCGGCAAUGCGGCCGUUUUGUUUUCUCUCUUGCUUCACACUGUUUUCGUGGCACGUGCCCCUGCCUCUCUGGCUUUACCCUCGUCCGUGCGGCGUCUGCCACUGACUGACGUUCAUUGGCUUUUGUGCCAAGAUAUGCGAGUACGAGUAUGUAUGUGUAUUUGCUUUUGUUAUUGUUCCUUCAUUCUCGGCGUAGGCCCUACGUCCGGCGGUGUCCUCCAUCCUACAGUGUCCCCCAUCAUUGGCCAUAAAAUGGUGUCUCUGCGCACAUUUCGCUGUUCGCUGGCUGUCCGUGUCUUCUUCCCCGGCUUAACCUUGUCCCAAUGCUUUGUCCCUCCCUCAUUCUCAUUCUCAUUCUCAUUGUCUUAACGAAAUCCCCACAACCUUUGGCCCAUUUUUACAAGUUUAUUUUGUUCCACAAAUUCUUGGGCAUUCUUUGAAUUUCAUUUUGUUGUUUGUUAGCAUUUCCCACUCCACAUGUCCUGCCGCCUGUCCUGCGUGUCCUGCCUUCCGUCUUUGUUCAGUCAUUCCGCAUGUCCUGGUUUUCCGUCUUUGUCCAACUUCAUUUAAUCAGCAAUUCAUUUAUUUAAACGCCCCGUUGUCGUGGCCCUGGAGACCAUUCCAUUUGUGCUUAUUGAUUCAGUAAGAGAUGCAAAUAUAUGAGAGGUUAAGAUGGAAAUUAAAUAAUAGAUUAAACUGACACUAAUUCGAUCUGAUGCGUUCAUAAAUAUAGCCCCACUUUUCUGCAAUAAUUUCACGCCAGCUUAAUUCGUUUUUAAAUUAGUUUUAGUUAAUUUUUGGAGAUUUCUGUCUGACACCAAUUUAUUUCCUUUUCUCAUUUGCAGACGAUACAAAAAUCAAAUCGAAGGCAAAAACAGAAUUAGUAAGUUAAAUAACAUAUAAUGGUGACAUGUCCAGAAAACAACCUGUACGCCAUGUACGUACGUAUCUGUCGAGUUUCAGAUACACGGGACAACAACCAACAAGAUAUUGGAAGAAAGUGCCGAGUAGAAGCACGGGGAAAAGUUCAGCGGUUGCCGUUUUGUGCGGCGCUUAUCCGUCUGAGCCACUUUGAGUCGCGAUUUGGCAAAAGUUUUGGCCACGUUUACUUGGCUUUCCUCUCCCUCUGAGACUCACCAUCGUCUCACCUUCCUUCGUGUGGCUUUGGGCGGAAACAACAAACGAAAAAAGGAGGAAAAGGAAAAGGAAAGAUAAAGGGCAUAAAACGUGGUCCGAUUCGUUUUGGCUUUCGGUUUUGGUCUGGCUUUCGUCCUAAAUUUGUUUUCUGCUCGACUCCCAUGGCGAAAAUUAUUGUCUGAGGUUGUGUCGCUUUCCCUUCAAACGCUUCAAUUUUCCUCUGCCACAUAUCCUCUUAUUUCCCCUGGUUUAUCUGCCUUCUCUGCUAUGCCAUUUCCCUAUAUCUCCAUAUUUUUCUCACUGCUCACAUGCGAGUAUCCUGUUACCACUUUUCCUAAUUUUUCGUUCUUUUUUAUGUUUCUAUUCUAUUCCAUUGUAUUCUAUUGUGUUUUCCUUUUCCUCAACAUUUUCUCAUGCUAUUUUUUAGAGCGAACAAUUUUAUUUUGGGUUUUGUUUUGUGACUCCUUUUGUGGCAGCUCUGAGGUUCUGACCGAAAACCGAAUUAUUUACCGAUUCGAAAUUCAAUUAAAGGCUUUGCUUUGCCCUCAAUGUGUAUUGAUUAUAUAAUAAUACACCAAAAUACCUACCACAGGCUGGUACUGCCUUGUGCCUCGUGCGAUGCCACGUAAAUAAUUGUAUUUGCAGGGCGGGAACACACUCGAACACACUGCUGGCCCCUUACGUUACGAGCCGACGGCAAUUAGCAAUAAAUUUAAUAACUCAAAUUACGCAUACGCCACGAGUAACACUCGAAAGGGGAGGCCAUACUCGCAUAAAUGGGUCCGAGCUCCCCAUACCUAAUAGCUCAGGGAAUUGUCCGAUUACGAUUCAGAAAUUACUAGUUAUAUUGAUAUUUAAUUAACAUUCAUAAGGAUUUCAUGUGACAACUAAAUUGUUCCCUAAUAGCAUAUCUUUGGGUGCUGGGUACUUGUACAAAUUAUAUAUGUCCCAAUGACAAAUGAGAAAGUUUUUCCAUAACAUUUUACAUUACAAAUAAAGGAUUAUUUUACCCCAGAAUAAUCAAAUAAACAAUGUAUUUCAAAGUCAUUAAAGAAUAUCAAUGUGAAAGGGUUUAGAAAAGCAAAUACAAUUGUAAGCUGGCAUAGAAAUGUAAAAAUGUAUACAUAUUUAUUAGCCCUACAAGUCAUCAAAAUAACAAAGAGAAGUGACUUUCAAUUUUGACUCUCUUAAGUCUUUUACGAGCUAAAAUCGUUCCCCGAUGAAUCAUUGCAGAUCUCAGUGGUUCUUCAACCCAUUCCCCUGCAAAUCUGGUAGUUCCCCCAGUAAAUUCCAUGGGAUAGCGGGAGAUCAGGUUUUCAGUUAUCUGAAAAAUCGUUGGGAGCGGCAAAAACGCUGACUUUUGAACGCCGCCAUAUACAUAGCUGUUUCCCGCCCACACACGAGUCUUGGUUGAGUCCUCUUUGGGCGGAUGAAUGGUCUCCGUUAACUCUUCGAGCGGAAUGGGCAUAAUUAAAUUAUUCCACUACUUCUGCUGCUGCUGGUGAUGGUGGUGGUGGUGGAACAAGAGUCGCGCCCAUUCAGUUAAUUUGCGACAAGUCGAAAAGGUGGCAGUGUCGACAUUUUACUUUCGAGCCAACUUUCAAGUAUUAUGUUGCCCUUUAAGCCGCUGCCCAGCUGCGUCCUGCGUUGUGCGCUGAACUUUUCGCUGGAAAAGGAUUAAUUAGGAUUAAAAGCGUGUCGAGUGGUUGAAUAAAGCCCAAAACGGUUAACCAGCAACUACAAAGAGGCCCAAAGAUGAAAACGUCAACGGAUAGCAAUAAAAAGGGAGUAAAUUUCGAAUGGUUAAAAAUUAAAUAAAAGUGCCUCUGACUCCUGUGGCUUAAUCGAGCGGCAUAAAUAAGUCAACCAGUUGGCCAAGUUCUGCUUGCCGGCUGCUCCCUGCUCUCUGGUGAUGGGAAUUUCUCUCGUUUUAUGCAUUGCUCAUUUAAUUAACAUAAUUCGAUGCGAUACUCGUUUAAUUUUGUAGAUUAACUUAUUUAAAUGAAUUCAAUAUAAACAACAAUUUGUUAAAAUACUUAUUCUGUUCUCCUGUUCUGUUCUGCUGCCGGUUGAUCUUGCCCCCGAGCCACAUUUAAUUGCAUAACAAUUUCUGAAUUGACUUCACUCGACUCACUCGAUUGACUCGUUCCAGCACAGUCACAGUCACAGUCCAAGUCCCACCUUAAGCCCCAUAGCUCGACAAAUUUGAAUUAAAAAUAACUACGUUUGCGGAUGCUUUUCAAUAAAAUCAGUUUUGAUAUUUUGUCAAAGGUUUUAGCGAGUGUUGAUCCCUUCUACAUCGUUGCUAGUGAUUUAUGCCAAUCAAUAAAUCAGUUUCAUAUCCGCAGCUUAGUCUCUAAGGGAAAUAUAUAUGGGUCCUACCGAGUGCGCUUUAAAUUGAAUUUUCCACAUUGCCGUAGCUGAAAUUUCACCCCCAAACUAUGCCUCACUAAUCUAAUGAAAUCAUUUCCAUUUCCAUUUUGCUGACAUUUAAGUUUUUAAGGCUCUUAAGUGGGGCAAACGGCACCAGCAAUGCCAACGACAACGACAACCCUUUUAGUCGGACCCUUGUGGAUGGAUUCUGCCACUGGAAAGUGUCGGUGAUAUUAGUUAAUGUUAUAUUGCGGUCGUCCUCCAUGCGGAAUAGUUAUUAUGUAAAUGGCCUAUUCAUUCCAGCUCCCCUGGCUGCGAAAUCUCUCUUUAAGGGGUAGAGCGGCGGGUGUAUUUGUUGUGCAGGAAAUGAAAACAAUUUUCUGUUUUAAAUCUGCUUUGCAAGACCCACACAUAUUUUUAAGUAAUUAAAGUGGUACCCAAAAAAACUAUAAAUGCUUGGGAAAGCGUUUAAUGCUUUUGCAUAAAAAAAGAAGGUAUUUUGUGCAAGCCGUUGAGCCGUUGAUGGAAAACUAGGCGCUUCUAUGUUUUUUUCAAGCCCCACCGGAAGAACGUGGAGCGUGGAACGCAGAACGCAUUUGUUUGGCCAACAAACCGAGUGGAAAAAACUUUUAACUAAAAUUCAAAAGGGAACCAAAAGCACACACACACACACGGCCAUAAAAAAACAUGAAAACUAUAGAAAGUGGAAAUUCUGCUUGGAAAUGGGUGUAGACCGUGGUAGACUUUGCUCUGGAAAAUGUUGAAUUGUGCUCGAGAGUAAGUUGAAAAUUGUGAAAUGUAAGCAAGUUGUGAAGACCAGAGCCCGAGAUGUGAGGAGAUAAAUGCGCAUAGGUGAAGGGCAGAAUAGGCUACCCAAGCCACAUAAAAUCCACAGACUGACACACACAAACACACACAGAUACAUGCACGCAUGCAUACAUACAUGCAUAUAUGAGAUGGUAGAGGGGCACCCUGCAUGUUGAUGGGGGUAUGCUGGCAUGGUGGCAUCCGGUUUACCAGUCAUGGGGCUUGGUGCGCAACAGUGAGCGUCAAAAGUACUCGCUGCUAAGCAAAUGUAUGAAUAUUUUAUUUUGCAAAUGUAACUAAAUACACAGGCAACGCCGCAGGACAAGCUUUCAUCUUCAUUCGUGCCACACUCCGCCACUCACUCCGCCAUCAAAUCUGCAAAAGGACAUGUGCAAAAGUGUCAAUGGGUGGGUGUGGGCCAUGUGCCAUGGGUGAGUGUUUGUCUGUUUCUGCGGUUGUACAAUUGAAGAUCCACACAGUCCUGUCUUGAGUUGACUUGUGAGUCGGGAGUCGGUUUCUGUUGCCGUCGCUGUUGCUGUUGUGGCACGUUUAAGUGCCACCAGAGUUCGUCUCUCCGUAAGCGAUUCUGUUGCUCUUGCUGCUGUUUAUGCUUAAAAUCUAUGCCACAUUGGUUCGUUAGCUUCAACAGUCAUGUGUUGGUUGUCAUUCGCUUUUUGUUUUAAGGGUCAUGUUCAUGCCGCUGUUUUGUUGCGCUUUUGUUUUAGCCCCAUAUAUGCCUGGGCUUUUGUGUGGCAGUGAAGAGCGCUUGAGGUUGCAAAUAAGCGAACAGGAAGCCAUGCAGACAGACAGACAGACAUGCCGAGGACUGAGCCGCUCAGUUACAGCUAGAGCUUCCAGCAUCAAGGCCGCUCCGCCCAGCUCUCCAUGCAAAUGAGACAAAAGAGCAUCAGCAUAAACGGUCAUAAACAUAUUUCCAGGAGCGUACAACAGGCAACAAUGUUCAUGUAAUUAUGCAGCCCACAGUCUACAGGCUCAGGUUGAUGUUUAACUCCACUCAGGUUUAUAGCUGUUCUUGCUGUGAAGGCCCUGCAGCUGACUUAUUAUCCCAUAUCCCAUAUCCCACUGCCUCAUGUGUCGUAUCUGUGUGUGGGUGUUAGAACCAAACACCUGAGGCAGAUGCCUCAGCCAUGUCAGAGCAGAGCAUAGCAAACUUUGUGCUAAUUAAUAACCCUAAUUAAGUUGACUUAAUCUAAAUUGCCUUUUUUCCGGUUUUUGUGUGGAUGAAAUGUGCCACAAAACUUGUAUUUAUGUGGCAUAUACUUGUACUCGUACUCGUGGUCAUUAUUUACUCGGAACGUACUUAACAGGUCUUAAAAACAAACUCAAAGAGAGCUGCUUCAAAUGCAAAUGAAGUCGUUUGAAUACCUGACGACGGAGGUGGAGGAGGAGAAGGCAGAGAGACAGAGCAAGAGUAAUGCUCUUAGGCAUUAGCCAUAAAUAUCCGAUAAGUAUUCAAAGCAUUCUCAAACGGGAAAUCACGAGUUUCGUUGCAAAAGCGGAUGAUGCUCUCGAGAUGGUUCGACAGGAGAGAGACUGACUGCUGCUGCUGCUGCUGCACACACACGUUGCGUAUGACAGCAAUUAAACGAGAAACCUACCCACGUCACGUAUACGCCAUGCGACACUAGUUUUCGUGUUUAAUUACCGUUUUUAUGGGCACCAAUGGGCACGAAAAACGAUUCGCGGGCGCUUUCGAGGGCCGGCUACAGGGACACGGCAGAAGAUGACUAACGGCCAACAGCGUGGACUUCAAGGACUCGAAGGACAGGAAAAGGCGCAUGCAAUAAAAAGGAAAUUAAUUGCUUUUAUGCCCUGCCCAAAGGGUGGGUUGCAAAUGGCCCAAAUGUAGGCUUUAACAAUUGGAGAAACUUUAAUCGAAACAAUUUGACAAGUUCAAGGUGCACGCAGGUUCAAAGUGUAACAAAUAUUAGCUCUCCAAAGGCAUAAAGCACUUACCUGCAAACCUACACGUACACACACAGAGAGCACACACAAAAAACACACAAAACCAUAAACGUGUGCAUAAAUUUUCGUGCACGCAAUGUGCGUUGCUGGCGGGUUGGGAGGGAACUAAAAAAAGGAAUGGCGUCAGUCAAGCAUUUGAAUAGCACGCACACACGCAUAUGUCUCGUACAGCAAAGACUCCAGCAUGAGUAACUGUAGCUUUAAGUCGAAAUUCUCUGGGGUUUCAAGCCAGUGCUGACUGUAGCAGUACAAUAGUUGUGUAUCAUCUGUGACGUGCUGUUGCUGCUGCUGUUUGCUUUUCCAUUUCACUUUGCGCUUGUUAUCGUCACUUCUCGAUUCAAUCAAUCUUCCGUCUGUGGCAAACAACUCGUGCACGCACCGGCAGCACCCACUACGAGUGCCACUCUCAGUCAGAUAUAUGUAUAUACACCCCCAAAAAAGUGUGUUGAGCCACGUGGCGGAUGCGUAAUGUAUUGACAUACGAUAUACAUCUUGUCACUUUAAAGGAAAUAGCGUUGGCGAUAAUUUCGGGCAUUUUCUACUUGUGUGGCAGGCAAACAACACACACAAAAUAUUAAUCUAUUAGCUGCUAAUCGUUGUAUGUAAAUUUACCAACCUUUGGCCCGACCAUCAUCAUCAUCUUUGACUACAAAUAUUGAACAUGUGUCCUUUUGCGUAGGUAGAUGUAAGUCUCUGCUUGCCAAAGGAUUUACUUGGGUUUCUUUCAGUCUUUCACACCCAACACCACUCCCACUCCCAGCCCCAAUCCCACUCCGUAUCCUAGGCAACACGAGAUUUCAUAGUAAGCCUUGUGGCAGAAUAUGUGGGAAAUUCCGAUCUGCCAUGUUGCUAGCCAGUUCAGAGUUCUCCUUUCUAUGUAGAUGGCUGGCAAUCAAUCUGUACAAACCGCCACAACAUUAGGGCCUGGCGAAUGGAACGUAAAUCAUAGAAGCAGCACACACAAACCCCCACGACUAAGGGGAACAGGCACUGAUUUUUCAACGCUGAAACAGUACGAGUAGUUUCCUUAUGGUUAUCCUGCCCCACCGCAAUGCUUCACGCCACGCGAGCAGCCAGCGAGCUGCUUCGACUUACAAAUGAGGGGAAUUUAAUAUUCACUAUUAUUUUUGUGUGGCAUGCCACAAAGGCGGAACUCCGCCUUGAUGUAUGCUUUGAAUUGUGUGCGCUUCUGGAGCGUAACAAUUGAAAUUCAUUUUCAUUUCCAUAUCCAUAUUCCUAACGCCAUGCCAUGCAUACAAGUAUUUUUGUAGUUGAUAAUAUGUACCAUCGCUGUGCUAGUGAACCACAUAACUAGUUGGCGAUGCUGUCGAAUGGGCAUCGGCCUGGCCAGCAGGGCCAGCAGGGCGUAUGAAUAAUAUGAAGUUGCUCCACCCCUCCCCAUAUGUGACCAGAAUAUGACUGUGCAUUCAAGCUUGUAAGUAAAACGAAAUAUAAAGUCUAUUUUUGGGCCACUGCUGACCUCAGCUCAGCUCUCUGCUCUCUGCUCUUCAGCUCAGAAUAUUCAAGAAGGCGCCAGUACCCAGCCAGUAGCAGAUGGAAAGAUUUCAUUUCGGAAAAGUCAUGCAAGUGAAAAUGGCAUCCACAACAUUAUUGCCUCUGCAACAAACAGCAUCGACGGAAGGACGAAAUUGUUGCCCGAGGAAAUGCAAACAACUGCCAGCAGAUUGUUUGUUAGUUACAUUGUCGGCAUCGAAUGAUAAUAUUUUCAAAGUGCAUUUCACAGCAGAGCGAUUCAAAGGGGCGUGAGGAAGAGGGCGAGGGGAAAUCAAUUUAUUCCACAAUCAAUUCAGAAUACAUUUAACAAUGUAUUCAUUCUGUCUGUGAAUUCUGUACAGGAAUUCAACUGAUUUGCGACAUGUCGAGCAUUUUAAUUGAGUUUUUCUAUCGAGGGAACGCGACUAAAAUUUUCAACAUGACUGAAUCGGUGGGUAGUAGGGUGGCUGUAGAUUGAAGUCGGAAAAGGUGGUAUGCAUACAAUAUAAAAUGGCAUCCAUUGAAAAUGUCACAGCAGCAGGAGCAAGUGGAAAUGGAAAUAGAAAUAGAAAUAGGAAACGGAAUCGGAAAAACGUAAAGUAAAUAUGCAAAACGCGAACGUUUCAUAUUUUUCAAACUGCAGAUGGAACGCAGGACAGCAAGCCAAAAGCUGGGACAGGGACAACAGCCUGACAGGGAUUCUCACACUCACGCCGUGUGGCACAGUGUGACAGAAGAGUGACAGCAUUGUGGCAUCUGAUUGAUAUGCAGAUGGUGCGUGUGCGUUUGCGUUUGCGUGUUCCCCUUUGAAUAUGUAUGUUCAGGCCGUGGGGGGAGAAAAAUGGAAUCGUCCACCAGCGGACAAGUGGAAGGACAAAACUAACAUGAACGCUUGACAUGACAGCGUUUAAAGAUAGUGAGACGGAUGCCAUCACACAAGAGCACCACACUGAUUCAGCAACUUAGCAGCACAUCAAAACGACAGCUCCUUGAUGUCCUCUGAUGGGGAAAUUCAUGUCAAGCGUCGACGCGAUUAAUGCAAAAUUAUGUAAUGAACCAGAAGGAGAGAACAGAGAGAGUCUUCAUUAGAAGCCUCUUCAUUUGGCUCUAAAGAUUUUAAUUGAAGCUUGUCACGAACCAACCAGCCAGCAGCUGGGUGCGACGAGGGAGGGGCGUGCGUCAAUCCGCUAAAUGCAAAUGUGAUUUGUAAAUACUUGAGACUGAAAUUAGCGACCAUUUAGCGGGGCAACACCACACUCGAGUCCAGUUUCUCGCACCUCAUCUGAUCACCCUAAAAAAUGCGAACAAACACCACUCAUUCCCCCUUACAUAAUCGAGAGAAUGAACAAGGGGGAAAUUAUUGAUUCACUUUUGAGGCAAGCUGUAGUUGGGCCUUUGGGGUGCAGAGUUGUGCAACAAAUUGCAUUACAUAAUGAAGAAGGUACAAAAAUGUUACACAAGUUACAUAGAUUCUUGUUACUUUUAUAGAAAGUAUCUGGAAAGUUGGUGCAGAUCCAAAUUACGAGGAGAGUUAGUUAGCAAAAGUGCAACAUGAGUUGGUAAAUAGCCUUCUACUUACGGAAUUCUUCACUUAAUCAUCUCCUACACAGUCAGAACGGUAGGUGUGACUUUGCCAGACAACCACACAGCUCAAUCUUUGCUUUCCACCUUCUUCAGACACAAAUGGCCGACUGCCACCAUACAGCUAUUGUUGCAGCUUGCCCGUAAAAGCUUGAGCAGGAGCCAACGUUGCAAGGAAUGAAAUAUUCGUGUUUUUUAUUCCGCUGACAUUUGGCAAAUUUAUUUGGCAAACUUUGUUCACGCUCGGGGCACAAAUUGCUCAGAUGUUUUGGCAAUUCGUCAAACAAAUUUGGCCCAGCCCAGAGCCCGCAACCGUGUGGCUCGCUGACAUUGUUUGCACCCCAAAAGGAAAGUCUUUUAGGAGUGGUGCAGCCUUCGGGGGGAGGGCAUUAACACAUCUGUGUUAAAAUUUAACGACCGUUCCUUACACUUGAGGCCACGACAGAUGCACGGCUAAAGGUCGGGCGGAGGAGUGGCGGCGAGACGCUGGGCUGCCGGAAGUUGUAAAAUAUCCGCCAUGUGCGGAGGUGAAAACGGAAAGACGACAGCAUUUAUAUGAAAAGGAAAAGGGAAACGGCUACGAAGUACGAGAAUUGUUUGUCUCUGGCUCCCAGAGCACAGAGCACGGAGCCCAGGGCCUCAGUGGCCGACGGCCGAUGGCCUUAUAAAAGUUAUAUGUCCGGGCAACAAACAUUUUUAUCUCCCUUCGGUUUCUGACUCAAAGACAUACACAUACGAGAUGUGUAAUGAAAACGUUCCAAGUUCCCUCCCAAGGAUGGUCCUUGGCUUAGCUGCAGUUUAUUUCGAUUUGGAUACAAGUACAUCAUGAUCUUCAUCUUCAUCAUCAUCUAAGGUUAUCCACAACGAGUGUGUUGGUGGGAGGUGACUGCCUCCCCAUCGAUUCCACUUGCCUGCUCACAUUUGGUUCUGUGUAUUUUUGGCCAUUUUGCAACAUUUUUGCAAGUUGCAUACAGAAUGUUGUAAGUCGAAGGCACCUGGGGCCCAUGUGUCGGACAGACAUUGAGUUUUAUUGGGUGACAGACCUCAGGAGAGGUACCCGAAACAGCAAUGUGAGUGGAAGACCAACAAGAUGUGACAAUCAUUUGAAGGUGGAAAAUAUGCUACCUCGCAUGCCUGACUCUUGUUUGAUUCAUGUUCUCAUAAAUUCGAAUGAAUUACCCUGCACUUGACACUCGCUCGCACGCUCGCAUGCAAACAAAAUGCAUAAACAUGACCAUCCAUAGCAAGUACUUCUACUCCUACUCGUGCUCGUAUAUGGAUGCUCCUCCUUCAUGAACUCGCUAAAAUCUGCUGGAAGAGUUGCCCGGGUAGUAAUAAUAAUUUAUGCUGUAGAAAGAACUUUCCGGUGUCAGGGCGUUGGGAAGAAAUACCUUCGCCACUUUGUAGCAGAAAGUAACAUACUUUUGCAUAAAUGUGCACUAAUGGAGAACAGUGUCUGUCUCGGGGAAUCUCUGUGUGCAUUCCUUAAAUAUUCAUAAGGCAAACAUCAAGUAAUAAGAUGGAAACUUGAAGGUAUUUCCAAAGGCUUUCCACCUUGAUGAGCUUGUCAGUGGCGCAAUUGCUGGAUGGUUGCACGUUGCCUAGGGAACCACAAAAUACGAGUAUCCAUCAACAUCAACAAGUGAAGCUGUACGGACGGAAUGUAGUUUCACUUUAUUAAAUUUCUUACCUCCAGUUUCGUGUAACUGUCUGUGCACAAUCCCCGUGCAGCUGCAACCUGCCACUAGACAAACGAAACGAAACGAAAUGAAAGCGGAGACUCAUACGCCCCGUGGUCCAUUGUCCAUGACUGUUAUUUUUACCCCCUGUGCCCGUGGCUUACACGGCUCCAGCUUGUUCCUACUGCUGUUCCUGCUCAUGUUCAUGUAGCUCUAGCCCGUAACCAGCAGCUGGUGUUCUGCCUGUUCCUAUUCCUGUCUAUAGCCACACCCGUACCAGCACGUCCCUGAUUCGUUUCGCUUCCGGAUUGCCAUUGUAAAAGUUUUGCGCCAGUUGUGCAAUACAUAAGUUGUGCCAUUUUAAAGCGAAGGUUGUUACAACUUGUACACUGAGUUUUUUGUAAUGGAUAUGACAGAGGGGCACGACCAGUAGCAGCCUGAACGAAUUAUGAGGCACGAUAGGUUGCAGGAUGGUAGCUGCAAGUCCCAUAAAGUGGACCAUGAAAGAGUUUUAUGAUAGUUUCCAUAAGAGAUAAAAUUGAUUCCAUACUUAAUUCCAUACCAUCACAAGUUAUUCUCUUUCUUUAAUGCCUUUUACUUGAACGAAUUGCGAUGGCUUUUUAUUAUGCCCGUUUGAGGCAUAUCGAGUGAUAUCCCUGCUUAGACCCUGGCGAUAAUGUUUCACAUAUCGAAGUUUGUGACGCGAAAUAAAUACAUAUAUCUUUAAUGUCAAUGUUGCCCACUUCCACUGCCGCCUUCCGGCCAAGUCACGCCUGCUUCGGCCUGGGCUGCCGCUUCCAGUCAAUUGAGUCAGAGUCGACAGGCAGCCGGAAGCUUUGGUUAAUCUGCAGCCAUCAAAGUGGCAAGUGUUUCAGGGAGUACGAGUGCAAGGGGUAGCAGGGGUGCCCCAAAAUUGACUGCAAUUAAAAGAGCUGGACCCAGAGAAUCGUCAACCUCAAUUAGCCCGCAUCAAGUGCGAAUGAAAGUCAGUUUGCGGUGUGGUGUCCGUCCAGCUAAAUGGUUUGCCUUUUUGGCCUUAAAUAAAAUUAAUUUUCCAACGCAAGUUUCGGCCCACUGGGAAAGCGCUUUCCCAUAGCAACUCCUGUCAGGAGGGAGCGUUGCUAAUGUACAUUUAUUUGGAUUUUCACUUUUGAAAAGUUUUCUCUUGAUAAAUGACCGCCUGCGGCGAUCUCCUGCCGACAUCAUGAACUAUUCCUUUGAUGGAAAAGGAGAAAAGGAGAGCACUCUUCUCUGCAUGCCAUCGGCAUGCAACAGGAAAUUCGCAGAAACUUUUCACUUUGCCCGAACUUUGCUUCAAAAAUGUUUUCACUGCAGAUUUGCCUCGCUCGCUUUUUAAUUUAUUUAUUAAAAUAUGUUUUAUGUAAUUUGACCGAAUGCCAGCAGUUGAGUUGCGCAGCCAAGUUUUCGUUAUCCAAUUGCUGGCUUUUGUUUUGCCAGCUGCAAAUCACGAAUGGAGGAAUCUCUGACCGAUGAUGAAUUAGUUUAAAGCGAGGAAGUCUAGAGCGAGUCACGCACAUCGGACAACUAAUUCUAAUUCACAAUUAAUGCUAAUAAGCAGCCGCGACUGACGGACCCAUUAAAACGUGGUCAAGAGGAGGACGUGGCCAUUGUUGCCACGACACUCGCUGCUGUUGACCCACUUAGAUGCGCGCAGCCCGAUAAGGGACCCCACUUUGCCACACUUAGAGAGAAACGGAGAGAGUGGGAACCAGGGACACAGCGAGGCGAUAAUGACAGUGAGAGAAGCGUAGGCGAUGGAGGGCAGGCCAUGAAAAGUUAAACAAGAAUGCAAAUCCACUUGACUUGAUUGAAAUCAUUAAAACGAAAGCAGCAGCAAAAAUUGCAAAUGUCUGCCAACAAGUUCGCUCUUGGGGCGGAGCAGGAUACAGCAAGAGGGUGGAGUGGAGCCAGGAAGACAAGAAGGAAGGAAGGAAGGAUGGAAUAGGGAUGAGGAUGGGGAUGGGGAACUCAAACACAUGCAUCAAUCAUGAAUGUCACACACGACACAGAGCAGACACACACACGGUGAGAGAGAGAGAGAGGCAAAAGUUCAUAGUUGACACAUUGCUCAUACGCACUGUUUGCCGCCGCUGGAGUACAUGCCUGUAGCAUACUUUUCGGCUGCUAGAAGCACACAUCUCUGUGUGUAGUUGCGCCAAAGUUGGUGCAAAUGAUUUUCAUAAACAAAAUGUAUGUAUGCGAAAAAGAAAAGGGCACAAAGUAGCUAAGUUAAUAGUCUGCCAGGGACUGGGAUCUAGGGGCCAAGAUUGGGAUUGGGACUGGGACUGGGACUGGGGCCACACCCUCUGGGAAAUGUGGGUUGGAUGACAAACGUAAGUUUGUUGCAUGAUAAAUAGCUGGCCAGAGCUGGGCAAACAAACUAACCCAGUGGCCAGCAGCCAGCUGACAGCUAAGGACAAACGUAGUUCAUUGGGUUGUGGCGGUGGCGGUGGCAAUGGCGGUGUGGCAGUGGCUGGGGUGGUGCGGUCAAGUUCCAAUGGGAGAUCCAAGUGACACAUUGACUCCUGGAUAAGCACACAUUCGGGCUGUCCGCUCCCCGUUGGACACAUAAAUUUCAAAUGGCAAUUGCCUGGCCCAUGGCAGGCAGGCAGCACCAGUUCCAAUAUGAAAUUACACAAUUGUUUACUCAGUCCCACUUAGUCACUGCCAAUUUAUGGGGCAGUUCCAUUUGUUUGCUGAUUUAUGCUAAUGAUCCCCCGCUACAAUUAACAGGCCUGCAAAUCAUUUUGCUCGAAUGAAAUUGCAUUAUCUUGAGGCUCCAGGUCCCACAGCGAUUGCCCGCUAACAAGAAAUAAACUUAACACCGAAAUUUGGCUGUUUCUUUGGGACUCCUUUCCAUUACUCUCCCCCUCCCCAAUGGCUGCCAGUCGGCCAUAAUAAUCUUUAGCAUUUAUUUGGCUAUUAAUCUCAAUCAAAUUUAAUGUUAAGCAAAAGUCCCACAGCUCGCUGGAUGUUUGCUUGUGCAUUUGUUGCUUCUUGUUUGCUUUCAGGCAUCUUUGCGGUUUCUUAUGUUCAUAUGUUCGGCUGUUCGCUCUGUUCUGCUGUGCAUUUGCUCUUUGUUUUGCGGCUAAUCUGUGGCUCUUUAGUUUUAUUGGCAACGCUUCAGCUUUACUUUACCAGGUCAGGCGAUAUGGCCAAUUAAUAUAAAGGUUUACCCUCUUGAUUACACCUUCAAGCCGACUGCUCCAACUCCCUCUGCUUAAAGCCAAUAUUCGAGUGAGAAAAUCAGGGCUCUUGGACAGUUGCCACUCGCCACAGUUGUGCCGCCCCAAGAAUCAUUUGCCAUUCAUGCAAAUUUUCCUUUUCAGUUUUUUUGAACACACACACACUCAGACAGUCACACAGAUACACGUGCCCGGACUACAGGAAAUUCUCUGCCCUACAGUUGGCCAUGAAGAUUGGCUUGGAGGUGGAGUGGCGUCGGGGACUUUCUUUUGCUUUGACGGUUAACAUUCUUUUGGCAGAAAUUGUUGCCCCGGGGCCUUGUCGACCAUUAAAUGAACCUUGACUUGCUAUCGUCCUUGUUUUAUUCCUUGUUUCUUGUUUAUUUUUGGAUGUUCCUUGUCCCGGAGCAUGUCGUGGCCAUGGACACCUUUUCAGUUGAUUCAUUCGAUGGCCUCCUCCAUUCUGUUGAAUGUCCAAUUAAUGUGUUAACAUGCAUAAAUCACGACUGUCAAUUAGAUUUCGGUUUUCGUGUCCAUCCGUUAUACAUACUGGCAUUUAUCUAUAUAAAAACCCAAACAGGAGCCGCCCGGAGGGAGGAUCAUCGUUAAUGUGUCGCUCCACUCGAACACGAAACUUGGCCAACGAUUAAUUAAUUAAUUCGCUUGUUAUUUCAUCGUACGUGCUGCAGGGACUACUUUUUAGCCAGAUAAUGCAGAUGGUGUCCCACGGAAAGAGCUAAAAUGUAUCUGUAUCUCUCGUAUGGAUUUCUUGGCAACAUGCGACUCUUUUAACAGAUGCCAUAAAUUCAACACUUGCUCGGAAAAAAAUCAUACAAAAAAAGAAUUGAGCUCCACUCCAAUGGUCGUAUUUUCAACUGUAUUUUCCCAUUUCCCGCACACUUGCACUGAAAUCUGGCUGCAGAAUUUUCUUUGUCUAGUUUGGGUGUCGUUUUCGUGCUGCCUAUUGGGAUAAUACAAAGUUACAUCGAGCGAACGAAUUUAAUGGGAUUCUGUAACUUGGUCUCUUGGCCAAAAUGGCAAACAUAUUUCCUUUUGGUUCAAACCUAACCCAUUUUUCAAUUUGUGUUUCUCCUUUCAUGUGGCAUGCAUCGGUGGAUUGCCGUAAUAUGGACACGACUUUUGUAUUUUCUCUUAUUUCAAAAUGGAAAUACAUAUUCUACAGAGCUCGAGAAUAUUCUGAUUCAGCAUUCUAAUUGACUGACUGACAGAGAAUAUGUCUCUUCGGCUGAUGGCUCUGCAGAUUCAGCUUAAAUGUGAAUUUUCCUUUUGCUUAAAUGGAAAUUCAAAUUUGUUGGGCGAAACUCAUUUUAAUUUUUCAUUUUAAAAUGAUAUUUGCAGAAUAAUAUAAGGACAAAAUUGCUUAAAGUGGCUUUUAGUAUCAUUGAAGAGAGUAAAAUUGCUCAAACAAUAUUAAGCAGUGUUUUCAAUUUGUUUAAAGUGCUUUUUCCAGAGCCGUAUUUAUAUUUCUGAAAUUAUGCUCAAAUGGAAAUCAGCACUUAAUCUGUCUUCAAAUGAAUACAAUUAUUCUUUAGUGGAAGAUACAGCAAUCGAACUUGCAUAUGUAUGAACACACAUACAUAUUUAUUAAUGUUUAUCCAUCAGAUAUUCCCAUUCAUUUAUUUGAACAAGGCGUUAAAAGCUUUUUCUGGUUCUUUGAGUGCUCUCCAUAAUGAUUAUAUCCAAUGCAUUUGUGAUGUAUAUAACCAGCCCAUUACAUUACCAGGACAUUCGAAUAUACUCGAACAUUUUUGUUGCUGAUGAACUCUGCUGCAGUUUUGCAGUCGAAAUCGCAUUAAGAUUGACUGGCAGGGGGUAAUUUAAAUACAUGGCUCAGUGAAGUGUCAGGAAGUAAUAAAAAAGUUUCAUUAAAUGAGGAGCUUAUCUCGCGCCGGCUACAACUUAUCUGUGCACUGGAAGUGAAUGUGGCAUGAGUAUAAGGAUGAGUGUUUGUGUGGGAAAAGCAAUUUACAUUUACAGCAUGAACAUUAUAAACAUUUUAGCGACAACUCAGAGCCAUUAUUGGUGUAAAAAUAGCAGGGAAUAAAGCGACCAGCCAAAUGGCAAAUCGAUAAGCGGAGCAAGCGACCAGCCAGAACCAAAAACCGCAAAGUAAGACCCGAAAUCAACAAUUCAAUUUACACUUUGCGUCCACCAUAAGUGCCCCCCCUCGCGGAGGUGGCCCUGCCCCGAAACAGAGUGCAACACUACGUAAUCCGAUGAAGAGGCAGCAGCCAGCAGCAGAAGCAAACAGCGAAGCGAGCAACGAGUGGCAGCCAGCAAAGGCAAAAUGUCAGUUCCGAGUGGGUGGUUGGUGUGGUGGCCCAAGUGUUUAAUUAAUGAAAAACUACAGCCACUUGGCACUUAGGGGCCUGCCGCACCACCAAGGCUCCCUCGUGAGAGGCAGUAAGCCCAAAGUUUGUGGCAUAAGCUAAAACAGCAUUAAGCGGCCGAAAGUUCAGAGGGCACAACUGCGACCGAACGAAAAAAACUUUCCAAUUUGAACUGCGACGAACAAUGGAAGAGGAGAAACAGAAAGCAUUUCAUUAUGCUGGCAUAAAAUUAAGUAUUUAUGAGCCACGAGUGUGCUCGCAUCACAACCAUCCGAAUUGCCAAACCCAAACCCAAACCCAAGCCCCGUGCCACGCGUCGUAUGAGUAAUGCCACAAAUCGGCAAAAGAAAAAUGUUUUAUUCAAAUGUUGUGGCAAAAGGGAGAAAGUGGUUUAGGGGUGGCAGAGGAAGAGACUUUAAUUAGUUUGCAACGCUGCGGUCAAGUUGGGGCACAUAACAAUUCGUUGCGGUUCUGCCGCCGUGUCCUGUGCCGUGUCCUUUUCCCGUUUUGACCGCAGUUGUUGCGGUUCCCAGGAACAGGUUCACUCAUAUGUAGAUGGCCCCUUGGCUGACACGCUAAUGGCAUUUCAAUGUCCAUAGCCCAGGGGUUGAAUCACUGCGGCAUUGAUUGAAUGAAUACGAAUACAUUCGAGUAUAUGUAUUAGUCGUACAUAUGUGGAGUUGCAUGAUUGCUCUCCAAUUUGAAAGAUCUUUCCGAUGAAAGCACCUUUUGUUUUGCUCACUUAAUUGCUCACUUUAUUCUGGCCAAUGGCCAUCCGUUCAUCGCUCGUUGGCCAGAGACAAUGGCCAGGAAUUAGGGUCAAGUCAGCCGUAAAACUGCAGCUGCCACAACAAGAUUAUCGUCAGGGGCUCAUCCACCAGGUAGCAGCCACACACUCGGUUGGACACACACAUUCAGGUCAUCCUUCCUCUGGCUCUCUCUCUGUCUCUCUCUCUCGAAUCAGUUUAAAUUUAAUUUGAGCUUUGAUUGCAUUCAGUGACUGCAAGGAGGAACAAGCAACCGAUUUAGUUUUCAUUUUGGAAGGGAUUUGGUUAGCAGAAUGGUUAGCCAUGAGUUGAGGUCGUGACGGCAGCAUUUGGUCAUUCAGGAAAAUCACAGCAGGGCACCUCUCAUUUUUCCCAUUGUUUCUGCUGAGUCAGGACUCGAAUAAAAGAUUAAAGUUUUGCAACGAAGUGGGGUACAUAUCGAACGUCCAAGAUAAUUUACUUCAUGUGAAAAAUGACAACCGUUGACUGCCUUUGAUUUGGUUUACAUCCAUGUCCUUGCCCUGCCACAGUGUCGAUGUCGAUGUCCGGUUCGGAGUCCUAUCCCCAUUGUGUGGCCUGAAUAUUAAUGCGAAUCGACAGCCAGAGAGAAAGACUUUCUUUCUUUUGCUUGAUGUCAAGCAAUUAAUAUGCUUUAUGUCCUGUCAUAUUUUCUGCGACAGAUUGCUCUUUGUGAACCAUAUUUCUCCCUCUCUUUUCUGUCUGUAUUCCAUUUAAGUGAAGCCUGUUCAUUCCAGUUUGUAUUUGCACAUUGACAUUGGUGGGUAUAUCCUUUGGUAGAUUGCCUCUGCAAGUUUCGCCUAAUCAAAUUGAUGGCAAAUUUAUAAUUUGCCGCAACUCCUUUGGUGGGGAUAAACUUUAAACUGCAGCAUAAAACAAUUCAUUAUUCAAUAUUUGUGUUGGCAAAGUUUUAAUUAGAAAGUUGGUUAGUCUGUUAGCCAGCCGUUAAAUUGGUAUCCCUGACUAAAAUUGAAAUUCAUCUCGGCCUCGCCACGAGCACGAGCUAAUUAAAGUUGAAAAUUAUUAUAAUGACGGGGCGCUGGAGCAGGCUCAGGCCCAGGCCCGGAAUCUGAUCGGGGCACAAGUGUGUGCUCAAUCAAUCAAUGCAAUCAAGCAUAAAUUGUCUUAAAACAAAGCCCCGGACUCGAAACCGGGACAGAGACCGAGACCGAGACCGAGACGGAGACCGGACAAAAUAUUGUGAUGCCAUUAAGAACAACUGUCAAUAGACUGGGGGAGGCUGCCAUGAGGGUGACUGUUGGGGUGCUGAGGUGUGGUGUGUACUGUGGGGCAAGUAGAGCGAACGGAAACGGAAGCAGCUGCACCGCCCACCCGCCAACACACAAAAGCCAAAGCCAAUGCCACUUAAGCUUGAGCAAACACAAAUGCCAGAGUGUUGGCAUGCCACUCUCCCUGCACCUCUCCCACUUCUUUCUCUGGGGCAGACUUCUCCAUGUGACAGUCUCGAGGCUAUCAAACGAUAGGAACGUGAGAGGAGCAUCAUCCAGCAUCUUCAUUCCGCUCUGCCACGCACUCAUCCUUGUGUUCUGUCCUGUCCUAACCUAUCCUGUCGUGUCGUGUGUUAUCAAAUUAUGCAGGAACGUUAUUAUUGCGGCUUGUUUCGUGUUUCGUUGGCAUUUUCCAUGAAGGCAAGAUGAAGCAACAAACAACAUGAGGAGCCCAGCCAGCCCAACACCGGGGGGCCGCAGACAAAGUGGCAUUAAAUUGCCACUUCAAGCCGAAAGCCCGAAAACCUCAACGGAGUAUGUCGUCUACGUGUGUCACUCGAGUCACACGAGAAUUCAAUCAAAUUCACAUCAAUCUCUGCUAUAAAAUGUACAAAAUCAUAUUUAAACUGUUGAAAACGGUUCGACAGAUGAUCUGUGUUUAUUUUCACAGUAGAUUCCAUCUUAUUGUGCUCUUAGUUACUUUCUUAUCCUAAAGGAUACCCCACUCUGGAGGAUUAACCAGUCUCUCCAUCUGUUCCCCGCUGAAACCUCUUUUAGUUAUAAUAAAGGAAGCAGUUCCUUGAAUCUACAAAUCCUGCAAGCCUCUCCUGCCCACAACUUACUUUGCCACUCGAGGUGGCAAGUCGUCCACAAAGACCGCUGGUCCUGCCACAGGACACAAUGAACCAAGUGGCGGCCAUGUCGCAUUCACUUUACUCUCCUCUGGCUGCACGGUCUCUACACGGGCCUGAGCCGCUGCUGCAUUAUUCUGUCAGCGGACUACUAUUUUCAGUCAACAUUCUUGACAUUUAUGCGCCUUGCCCUGUUGCAGGAGCAGGGCAGUCAAGAGGUCCUGUCCUCGCACUCUCGGAGCGCCUGGUAUUUCAUCUCGAAAUUGCGCUCGUCUAGCUCUAGGAGAAUGCUGAAAGUUAAGUGGUAAAUUGGUUAUUGUGUAGCAUUAAUGGACGGACACUGCAAGAGACCACAAGCCUCUGGCUCUCGCUUUGGCUCCCCUUUCCAACUCUGCUCGUGAUCGUGGUUAUUGUUCUGGUUAUGGUCCAUGCUCUGGCAUUUUCUGUUGAAUGUCUUUUAAUUAAAGGCAGAUGCCCCACAGCAUCAUAUCUGACUUGACUCGACUCCACUCUACUCUCGUCAAUUGUCUCCGGGCGCCAAAAGUUUUUCAAUUAUUUUGCUUUGACAAGAUUACUGCUGCACCAUGGAACAAAAAACUGUGCAAAUUCCUCUUACCGGCGACAAAUAUUAAUGAUGUUUUUGUGGGUGUUGAAUCGACUUGCAUUCCGUGGCUGCUGCUGCUGACACUUUUCUGAGACUUUUUCGAUGGCUAACCGCUGAAAUUUCCAUUUCAAUUUCCAUCUAGGAAUGUUCGGUUGAGUGUCGGCUGUGGCCAGUCAUCGAUCGAAUCGAAUUUAAAUUGAAUUUUAUGGCUUUUUACAUAGGGCCAGCAAAAGUGUUAGACGCUUGAGGGUUUCAGAGGAUUAUUAGGAUUUAAAUUGAACUUUCCACUGAAUAAAUAUUGCUUUUACUGGGCUUAUGAAUUUUGAACACAGCAAGCAAAUAUGUGCGUGAAACUCAUAUUUAAAUAAAUAUUUGAUUUCAAUUGAAAUAAACAUAAACAUAAACGAAGCCAAUCAAAGCAAAUCAACAUGAAGGGACUUUUUUGUCUGGAUUGAGGAUUAUUUCUUAUGUCGUAUUUUUAGUCCGUGGAAACCUGAAACUGCAUCGUCCUUCUUAUGGCUUGCUGCAGUCUACCAAUCUGUCAGGACAAACACACACAGAUCCUUUACAUUAGCCUUGAUUGAGUUUCGAACUCGGGUUUGAUGGGAAUUUGCAAUUGGAAAAUGCCUGACGAUGGCCAGGCCAUGGAAAAUAUAUCCCCCAUUUGCAUGGAUACCCGUAGAGAAAACAUUUCAGACGAAAAUGUUGCAACAGAGCAGAUAUUCAGACAGACAGAGAAAGAGAUAGAGAGAGUGGCGUGGCAGCCAUUGAGUGCACAUUGUCAUGGCAUUCCCAUUCCCAUUCCCAUUCCUCCCCAUUUGCGGCCUGGCAGGUAAACAUUUUAGCUAAAAUCGCAUAGGACUUGCACGAGUCCUCGUAUUCGUACGCAUACAAGAAUGUAGAUACAAUUGCAAUUCUAGGAUUACAUGCCAAAGUCCUCUCCCAUAUCAGACUCAGUCUGCAGACGGCUGUCAGGAUUGGGCGUGUCCUUCAGUGCGUUUUAUGCUACAGGGCUUAAGGCCACAGUCUUCAUUCUGGCCCUGCCUGCAAUUAUGCCCCAAAAUUUGUGCAAUUAUUAUGCAACAAGUACAAAGUAUUGUCUCGGGAAAUGUUCAGGAGUCUGUUCGAAGGGAGGGCGUGUUGGGGCAUGUCAUGUUCUUGGGGGAAAUGUAAAAUUUGAAUUACCGCAGAAGCGGAGGAAAGGACUUGAUGUCAUCAGCAGGCCACACACUGCAAGCUCCCUCUUCGUUUCACCCUCUCUUUCUCUCUCUCCUUGAACACAUUUUCCACUUUGAAGCCAAAAAGGCAAAACGUCUUUUGGGAGCCGACGCCACACCACCGUCAGCAGCAGGCUGGCGGUAAGGCAGUUAGGCAGCAGGCAGCAGGCAGGCAUCGUUGAAAGCUUAUAAAGUGCAACAGCAUUGCGGUAGAGGCUGCUUCUGCCUGCUACGUGACUGCCCUGCCAAUGCACAACAGAAACGCGAGGUGCAAGAGGAAGGGUAAGUAUGGCAAAAGCGUGUGGUGUGUGGCACCGCUAAGCGCUGCUGAUGAAGUCGCGUCCAAAACGCUGCGUUGCAGUUUGCCAAAUUGAAAACAUGAAACUAAAGGUGCUGACACGGCCAGCUCAGCGACAAAGCAACAUAGCUAUAAACUAGCCGCAAAGUUAAUUUACCCGAGCAGAAGGAGGUGGUCCGUGUCCCCAACCUUCCUUCCUCUCUGGUUGCCAUCGUUGCACGCACAUCAUGUAAUCGGCACUUCCGCUUGCAAAAUGGCGCGCACUCAUGGAUGGGGCAGCCCGUGGCGACGCGUCGGCUACUAAUUCUGUAAUUUCAAACGUGCCGCCCAAGUGCACAACUACAAAGUCCAUAGCCCCCGACAUCUAUUUAUGGUCAGCAUGGGGUGGGGCAGGUGUUGCAACCGCAGGCCCUGUGCCUUCGUCAUUUGCAUGUCCCUGAGUGAACGGCCAAUGACGUGGCGACUUCAGCUCUCCUGCCACGGACACGGACACGAACACAAAAACAAACACAAACACGCUUGUGGUGCACUUUAAUUAAAAAUAACUACAACUGCAGAAGUACAUACACAAUUUUUAAUUAAGAGAAAUAUGAGUAGAGCUCUUCUCUCUCUGUCUCUCCCUUUGAUUGCGCGAUUCGCAGGUUGCAAUUUUAAAUAAAUAUUUUAGCAUUUCAUUUGAGUGUCAGCCACACUGUCGACUUUUUCGCUAAUUAGUUUGUUGUGCGUGGUGCCUGGUGCCUGGUGCGUGGGAUGCUGCUGCUGCUGCUGCUGCCGUGAUUGCUGUUACACUUUAUCCUUAAUGAAAUCCUCUACUGGCUAGCUGCUAUAAUGGUAUUCAGUUCCCCCCACUCCAACGACCAUUCAACCCUCAUCUCUCAUACAUAAAUAUGGAGGGGCAAUCCCGCAUGAGGCUAGAGGCUUUCCUCCAUUUUGUAUGCUCAUGAUGGACGCGAUUUCCGCUGCUCAUUUCCGUUUUGAUGUGCGUGACCUGCUGCACGGAACACGGAACAGCAUACAUGCUGUAACCACCCCACCACUCGAACAUCAUUUGCCCCGCACACUAAUCACUGCUGUCUGUAUUAGGGAACCGUCUAUCUACUCGGCUUUUCUGGCCCCUUUCCCUCUAUGGAAAUUAUGCAAAUGUUGACUUGCCUGACGGACAGGCAUUGUCCCGACCCCGGAGAGAGAAGGGAACGGGAAGGGGAUGCAAAUGGUUGGUGGGAGCUCAUUGAGCCGCUUUGCGGCAGCUAAACGCUUUGGCAAAUGCAUCAUUUGCAUGGCUUUAAUUGCAUCUAAUUGUUUGCGUUUUAGCCAGAGGCAGAGAGUUAUUUGCAUUGUGCAUGAAGUUGUGGGAAAUUCCCACAUGGCACGGCAUCCACACACAUCCCCCCACAUUCACAUUCACAUUCACAUCGCCGCGAUUACUUACUCGUAAAUGGUAUGUUGGAGUCAUGUACUGUUGUGACUCUCGUACUCGUACUCGUACUCGUACUCGAAUUCGUGCAAUUUCCGACCAAGUUGGUCAUGAAUUAUACAUGAAAUCGCAGUCUACUUUGUUGAUGAAAGAAAUUUAAGCUGUUUUUUUUCUGACGGUGUGUGCCUCGUUAAUAGAAUUUUAAUGAUGCUUUGAUGUUCAUUAAGAACGCUUUUGAUUCAAUCAGAGUCUUUUGAUUGAUUGUGUAAGCAAGAACAGUGCAUAGAGUGCUCCGAAAUACAUUUGCAAUUGAUUGAAGUACUUUAAGGCAGUGCGAUUCCUGCUUCAAGGAACACAUCUUAAGUACACUUACUUCCCGAUUCACUGGCAGAGUCUUCGAGUGCCCUCGAUUUCGCUUGUAAAUUCCAUUUGCCGCAACAUUUUAUCUAGUUAAUUCCACUGCAAAAGUGCCAUGUGGCCCUGUCCUCUCACUCAAGCUGAUAAUCUCAGUUGUUUCGAGUUUUCAACUUAAUUUUCGAUUUAUGGCAGUCAAAAGUGCAGCCUUCCCCUUGUUUUGCACCCUUCGACUACGGGCCAUAAAAACAAACAAAAAAUUUGUUUAACAAAGUGCGCAUUAAACUCUUAAUCUUUAGUGUUGACAUUAAAUUUACAAUGGCAACUAAGCGAAGUUGCGAGAGAGAUCCAUGAACCAGGCUCCAGGGCCACACCCACACAUACGCCCACAAAAAGCUGGCGCGAACAAAGCAACUUUCACACACACACAAAAAGAGAAAGAGAGAGGGUGGAGUUCAGGAAUUUAUUACCCAAUUUGAAAUUGCAAACGAGUGCGUGAUAAAGUCCUGGGAUGUUGCUGCUAGGGUGCUGCCUUUUGCCUUUUGCCUUUUGCCUUUUGCCGUCAUGGUUGUUGCUCUUAGUCUUGUGUUUUAUUCAAAACGCCAUUGUUUAUGCUCGGCAUAGGGAGAAGGAGGGGCAGAGCAGAGUAGAGCAGAGCAAACAAGUGCAAGUUGCAUGCAACGUCAGUGGCGGUCAAGGUGCCCAACAGCAAACAAAGGACAAUGGCAGGACACCAUCAGAAUAUCCAAGCCAAGACACAUACACAAAAGAAUGAUAGAGUCUCAGAGUGUCUCGACAGUAACAUACCCAGUUGAACAUUUUCAUUGCCACACUCAGGAGCAGCAGAUUAGGUUUUGUCUCGCUGUGUUGCCCAAAUGAACACACACACAGCAUACCCUACUAUUAGUUGGUAUUAUAGCCAGUGACUGGCAGGUUAAAAGUCAAAAGUGUUGGCACACUGUGGAGCUGGCUUAUGACUAGAGGAUCUGGGAUAGGAUGGGAUUGGAAACUGUGGAUACUGGGGCAUGGCAUUCUUAAUGGUUUGACGCGUGUGCCAGUCAAUGCUGAUGUAGGUGCGAGUGCGGGCGGAUGGUGCAGCAUGCGGCACGUGGCAAAUGCCGAAAGUGAUUCCAUGCAAAUGUCGAGGGCCAUUUCAAUGCAAAUUCGCAUGAAUGGCAACGUUGUUUCACUCUUCAUGAUGCCCCGAACCGAACCGAACCGCACCUCACCGCAUUUUCAUUUUAAAUAUUUUCCGCUCCACUCUGCUCGGAAAAUGCAGUCGUGGCUCUCGAUUCCCAUUUGCAUUUGACGUCAGCAUUGAAUCCUCAUCCUCACCUUUGCCACAGGCUUUCCUUUCACCCCCCCAUUGGGGUCAUAAAUUUGAGUCCCAUUCAAAGAUUUAAAUAUAUAUUUCCAUUGCGCAUUUUGGGUCGAGAUUUUCAAGAGAUUCAGCGAAUUUAUUGCCCCGCAAAUAAAUUCCAUUUGGAAAGAGUUUUGCGAAUUGAAAGAGCAGCUUAAAUCUAUAGAAAAUUUGCGAAAGGAAGGCUCUCGGAUUGAAAUGGGAUUGAGCAAUGAAUGUUUAUUGCUUGCAUUUACGAAAGUCUUCUAAAAGUCUCCCAAAAAUGGUCAUCAUUUCAUUAGUAAUCCCAUCAGGAAAAGCCCUGGAAAACUUUCAAGCAAGACAUUAAUUUUUAAGCAGCUGAUAGGAGAGUCCCGUGUCCUCGCUAGCACCACCCUCAGCUAAUGGCUGAGGGUUGAAGGCCAUCUAGAAUUUCGUAGCGAUUCCCCUAAUAGCAGCCGGCCAUUAGACUCAAGUGGCAAUGUGGCAAAGUUGCGUCUAAACUUUCCAUUUUGUUCCAUUUGACUAGAAACUAAUCCGCCAUCAAAUACUAACUUUUUCUCUUGUUCGCUAUUCGUUUCAGGCUGCAAACCGUAGACCUGGAGGCAAUCUCUAGAGAAGAGAGCGAGGAUUAACUUCUACA
rnacentral:lncRNA from 1 species